AGUGAACGCUGGCGGUAGGCCUAACACAUGCGAGUCGAACGGCAGCACAGUAAGAGCUUGCUCUUACGGGUGGCGAGUGGCGGACGGGUGAGGAAUACAUCUGAAUCUACUUUUUCGUGGGGGAUAACGUAGGGAAACUUACGCUAAUACCGCAUACGACCUACGGGUGAAAGCAGGGGAUCUUCGGACCUUGCGCGAUUGAAUGAGCCGAUGUCGGAUUAGCUAGUUGGCGGGGUAAAGGCCCACCAAGGCGACGAUCCGUAGCUGGUCUGAGAGGAUGAUCGGCCACACUGGAACUGAGACACGGUCCAGACUCCUACGGGAGGCAGCAGUGGGGAAUAUUGGACAAUGGGCGCAAGCCUGAUCCAGCCAUACCGCGUGGGUGAAGAAGGCCUUCGGGUUGUAAAGCCCUUUUGUUGGGAAAGAAAAGCAGCAGGUUAAUACCCCGCUGUUCUGACGGUACCCAAAGAAUAAGCACCGGCUAACUUCGUG
rnacentral:rRNA from 1 species